CAGUCGCCGCGGUAAUACGGAGGGGGCUAGCGUUGUUCGGAAUUACUGGGCGUAAAGCGCACGUAGGCGGCUUGGUAAGCUAGAGGUGAAAGCCCGGAGCUCAACUCCGGAAUUGCCUUUAAGACUGCCGAGCUAGUAGGUGAGAGAGGUAAGUGGAAUUCCGAGUGUAGAGGUGAAAUUCGUAGAUAUUCGGAAGAACACCAGUGGCGAAGGCGGCUCACUGGCUCAUACUGGACGCUGAGGUGCGAAAGCGUGGGGAGCAAACAGGAUUAGAUACCCGCGUAGUCCCUGUCUCUUAUAA
rnacentral:rRNA from 1 species